UACGGGGGGGACAAGCGUUGUUCGGAUUUACUGGGCGUAAAGGGCGCGUAGGCGGCCACCGCAAGUCGACUGUGAAAUCUCCGGGCUUAACCCGGAAAGGUCAGCCGAUACUGCGGGGCUAGAGUGCAGAAGGGGCAACUGGAAUUCUCGGUGUAGCGGUGAAAUGCGUAGAUAUCGAGAGGAACACCUGCGGCGAAGGCGGCAUCCUGGACUGGUACUGACUCAUGAGCGAA
rnacentral:rRNA from 1 species